UACGUAGGCAGCGAGCGUUGUUCGGAGUUACUGGGCGUAAAGGGUGUGUAGGCGGUUGUUUAAGUUUGGGGUGAAAUCUCCCGGCUCAACUGGGAGGGUGCGCCGAAUACUGAAUGACUUGGAGUGCGGGAGAGGUGAGUGGAAUUCCUGGUGUAGCGGUGAAAUGCGUAGAUAUCAGGAGGAACACCGGUGGUGUAGACGGCUCACUGGACCGUAACUGACGCUGAGGCGCGAAAGCUAGGGGAGCAAACGGG
rnacentral:rRNA from 1 species